rnacentral:rRNA from 1 species
AACGAACGCUGGCGGCAUGCCUAACACAUGCAAGUCGAACGAGACCUUCGGGUCUAGUGGCGCACGGGUGCGUAACGCGUGGGAACCUGCCCUUAGGUUCGGAAUAACUCCCCGAAAGGGGUGCUAAUACCGGAUAAUGUCUUCGGACCAAAGAUUUAUCGCCUUUGGAUGGGCCCGCGUUGGAUUAGCUAGUUGGUAGGGUAAAAGCCUACCAAGGCGACGAUCCAUAGCUGGUCUGAGAGGAUGAUCAGCCACUGGGACUGAGACACGGCCCAGACUCCUACGGGAGGCAGCAGUGGGGAAUAUUGGACAAUGGGCGAAAGCCUGAUCCAGCAAUGCCGCGUGAGUGAUGAAGGCCUUAGGGUUGUAAAGCUCUUUUACCCGGGAUGAUAAUGACAGUACCGGGAGAAUAAGCUCCGGCUAACUCCGUG